CCCCGGACGGCCCCUCCCAUCUAACCACGCGUCUUUUGAGUCUAACAAGCGUAUAAAUGCAAUAACACAGGUAGAGUAGAACUGCUUGGUGGGUGACCGUCACCCAUGUCCACUGCCUCACUGUGCCUGUAGGGAGACCGUGCUGUGCGGCCCCUCCUUAGCGCAUCUCGUCCCAGCCUGGCCCAGGCUCUGGAGGGUGGCGGUGGGCACUGUGGGGACCUGACGUGCCCUUGCCUGGCCAGCCGGCCACCGGAACCCUGGGCCAGAGUGGAGGCUGAGUCUACAAUAAACUAUUGUCUAAAGGCUGGGUUGGCGUCCUGACCUGCGUGUGGCCGGGAGAGGCAGGGGCCCCCCAUCGGGGUGUGGGGGUCACAUCCACACCACCAGAAUUUCCAGGGAAGGGUGCUUCUCCCUGGCCAUCCCAGCCACCUCCUUGGUGCGGGUGCUCUGCCCACAGCCCUUCCCGGACCCCGCUGCCCCAGACAGGCACAGCCAGGCCUUUCUGCCCACCCUGACCUUGGACACCCAGGGGCUGCAGGGUACCCCCAGGCCCAGGCUGCCGGCCACAGUGCACGAGGCAGAGCAAGGGUGUGGGGUGGGCAAGGAGGACCUCGCUCCUCAGGCUGGCCUCUCUGGCCAAGCGUGGGGACCCAUUCUCCACCCCUCUGUGCAGGGAGCCCCCAUCCCUGGAAGGGGGCACAGAGGAGGCUGCAGGGGUAGGGGAUGUUCUCCUCUCGUCACCUCCCACCCACAGCUUCCUGAGCCCACUCUGGCUGGUGUCCACUGGCCAGGCCUGCCUGUGAUCCCAGCUGUGGGUGGGGCUGUCGGCAUGGGCUGAGGAGCAAGGCCCGGCUGGGCCCCAGAAGCACCCCUGUGGGCUUUGCCACCCUGGGCCCCUGCUCCCCCCAUCCUUAGAGCUGGUCCUUCCUGGACCACCCUCCCAGAGGGGUACACCCUGUCAGAGCAUCCCCAUGUCAGGCCCAGGUAAGUCCCAAGAGCCUCCAAAACAGGCCUGACACCCCCAGUGGGCCCACCCGCUCCUGCUGCCCCAAGCCAGCUGGCCUGAGGCUGACCACACGGGCAGGGCACACAUUGUCCACCCCUCCAGUUUGCAGCCCACCCACCCCACUGGUGCCAGGAGGCAGUCACUUGCCACACUCCUGCAGUCUGGUCCCCUCUCCCACUCUUCAUUCUGUGGCUUGCACCCUAAAAACAUACCAACAAAGACACCCUUCUGACACUUGAGGGGACUUGUGAGGCGGGGCUCUGUCAUUGUCCGUAGGAAGUCCGGUCAGUCCUUUGGACGUGGUGCUGUCCCACUCACAAGGCCACCUCCUUUCAUUUAUUCAUUCCCCACUGAGGGAUGUGGAGGUUGUUUCAAAAUUGCUUGCAACUUUAGACAAAGCAGUAAUGCAAGUCCUUAUAACAUACUUUGUGCCCUGGGUCUCGGGUGUGUGUGCACAGCUUUCUUUUUAUUGUGGUAAAAUAUACAGCACAUGGAACUUACCAUUUUAACUUUUUAAGCACACAGCUCAGUGGCAUCAAGUACAUUCACAUGUUGUACAACCAUCACCUCCGUCCAUCUUCAUUUUACGAAACAAACUCUGCCUCCAGCUCCCAUGCCCCUCCCCCAGUCCAGGCACCGGUCCUCCUACCUCCUGUCUAGGAAUCUGAGGGGCUUCAUGUGAGUGGGGUCACCCACGAUCUGUGCUUCUGUGACUGGUUCAUUUCACUCAGCACAAUGUCCUUUGGGUCCAUCCACGUUGCAGUGGGUGUCACACAUCCCUCCUUUUUAAGGUUGAGCGACACUCCCACUGUGUGGAUGGACGACGUUUUGUGCACCAGCUCCUCCAGCCAUGGACACUUAGGCCGUUUCCACCUUUUCACCGCUGUGACUGCUGAUGCUGUGGCCAUGGGGGCACGUGUGUGUGUUCACGACCUGCUUUAGUCCUCUCAGAUGCACGCCUGCAGUGGGAGUGCCCACCACACAGCAUGUGCAUCUGGUACUGCUGCCCGCAUCAUGCCCGGGGGUUGGCAGUAUGGUCCCCUCUUGAUGUCCACACCGGUCAGCAGCCCCUCCUGCGUGUUUCAUUUGCACUGAUCUGAUCCGCUCCUCUUCACGAGGUUCUUGGCCAUGUGACUUUUCCUGUUGGUUCCGUUUUUCUGUUGGAUGGAAUGGCUUCUUCUCGUUUAUUUGUAGAUUUCUGUGUGUUUUCCACACCACGCCACUGUAGCAUUGCAAAUAGCAUCACUCCUGGGCUGGCUCGCCUCUGUCUCAUGAGUGGGGACGUUCUAAAAUCUGAGUUUGUCACAUGUCACCAUUGUUCCCUCUCCCGUGUAAGCUUUUGGAAUCUUGGUUGGAAGGACAUGCUCUCUUGUUCUUGGCUAAUGUUCUUGGCAGUCACUCACACUUGAGGCCUUUAAUCUGUACGGACCUUAGGAUUUGUGUGUGGGGCAAGCUGGAGACCUAAUGCAAUUUCGUCUGUCAGCAGACCUGAUGGCCGGCAUCAGAAAGCGGAUGGUCCCCAUCCCAAGGUGGUGCCGCCUGGGUCUGCCUGUGCCCGCCACAAGGCCACACUGUGUCACCAACUGUCACUUUGUGACAUCAUUUUAUAAUGAUCUCCUGUUUCUUUAUUCCUUUUUAAUUUCCACACUCGCUCAGCAUCUCCCCCAGGGAAUGUUGGAAUCCACAAGCCAAGGCCCUGAGCCCUGAGUGGGGUUCUGGUGCUCAGCCUGUUUCCUCAAGACCCUAAACUUCAGUGAUGUAGGGACCCUUCCAAAAUGAAAAACACUCUCGGGGACGCCCAGGGCUGCUUUAGAUCUUUAUUACAGGACUACUUUUAAGGGUGGAACAACAACAUAUCAGAUGUAAAGGGAUUCGGGGUAUAAAAAGUGCACGCUAUAAAUCAAAUCGGGCUGACAGGGACAUCUGGAAAGCUGGGGACUCGGACGGGCAGCUCCAUCUCCAGACAGUGUCUGAGUAAGGCCCUGCCCCGACCAGGGCCCUGGUGGACUCCCGGAAACCUCCUCUCUCAGCCUCUGCAUUCUGAGCAACUGCACCAGCAACUUAGACCCCGCGUCCCCAUGUCACGUUGUGUCACAGGUGGAGCCGGUGCUGGCUGUCAGAGGGUUGCUGAGCAGAGGGACAGUGCUACCUGCCACCUGCCAGCCCCAGUGACGGAACCUGUCCCAGCAGGAGAGCUUAUGCCUUGUGGCGUUGCAGAGUACUGAGAAAAAGCGCUACACAACUCAUUGCUGAAUAUCAC